CAAAAUUGCGAAUAUUACAAAAUCCAUCAUAAUUUGUUGUACUAGAACUUGUCAUGCGCGUAAGGAAGUUCGAAUUUACGUACAGUUGAACAGUGAAAAAGCUAAUGAAUUCAAAACAUCUAUAAGUUUCUUUUCAAGGUUUCUUCUUAUUCAUUGCAGGUCGCUGGACGAGUUAUGGACAAAAAUUAUGACAAGGUCGGCCCCGAUGUAGAAGUCCAGUCCAAGCUGUAUUCCGAUAUUUACAACCCAGAAUUCGACUGUCGAUUGGAGUUUCGAGAACCGAUCUUCAAUAUUACGUCUAUGCUUGUUGUUAAGAUUUAUUCUGUUGAUCGUGUCACCAAGAAACUCUCUUGUAUUGGUUUCUCAGUUUUGCCGAUAUUCCUAAUGCUUGG